GUGGCAGCAGCCGCGGUAAAACCAGCACCUCAAGUGGUCAGGAUGAUUAUUGGGCCUAAAGCAUCCGUAGCCGGCUCUGUAAGUUUUCGGUUAAAUCUGUACGCUCAACGUACAGGCUGCCGGGAAUACUGCAGAGCUAGGGAGUGGGAGAGGUAGACGGUACUCGGGAGGAAGUGGUAAAAUGCUUUGAUCUCUCGAUGACCACCUGUGGCGAAGGCGGUCUACCAGAACACGUCCGACGGUGAGGGAUGAAAGCUGGGGGAGCAAACCGGAUUAGAUACCCGGGUAGUCCCAGCUGUAAACUAUGCAAACUCAGUGAUGCAUUGGCUUGUGGCCAAUGCAGUGUUGCAGGGAAGCCGUUAAGUUUGCCGCCUGGGAAGUACGUACGCAAGUAUGAAACUUAAAGGAAUUGGCGGGGGAGCACCACAAGGGGUGAAGCCUGCGGUUCAAUUGGAGUCAACGCCAGAAAUCUUACCCGGAGAGACAGCAGAAUGAAGGUCAAGCUGAAGACUUUACCAGACAAGCUGAGAGGUGGUGCAUGGCCGUCGCCAGCUCGUGCCGUGAGAUGUCCUGUUAAGUCAGGUAACGAGCGAGAUCCCUGCCUCUAGUUGCCACCAUUACUCUCAGGAGUAGUGGGGCGAAUUAGCGGGACCGCCGCAGUUAAUGCGGAGGAAGGAAGGGGCCACGGCAGGUCAGUAUGCCCCGAAACUCUGGGGCCACACGCGGGCUGCAAUGGUAAUGACAAUAGGUUCCAAUCCCGAAAGGAGGAGGUAAUCCCUAAACAUUACCACAGUUAUGACUGAGGGCUGCAACUCGCCCUCACGAAUAUGGAAUCCCUAGUAACUGCGUGUCAUUAUCGCGCGGUGAAUACGUCCCUGCUCC
rnacentral:rRNA from 1 species